rnacentral:lncRNA from 1 species
GGUAACGAUAUAACAAUACACUGUGCUUUCACUGUACGGGUUUGGACACAUUACCGUGGUAAAGUAGCUUUUGCAAGUCUGUCCCUAAAUAAACAGUCCCAAAGAGGAGUUUUUUUUUGUUUUUUUUUUUGUUACCCUUUAGGAUUACAACAUUUAAUAGGUAAUCUACUCCUAAUAGGAAUAUAAGAUACAUUCUCAUAUUUACUAGGAUUUACACAAUCACAUUCUUAUUCUAAUAGGACUACAACACUCCCCCUUGAGUGUGUAAAUACUCAAGUAAAUGGCGCAUCAGGUUUUCAGUGAUGAAGCAAGUAUAGUUGAUGAAGUUGUUGACACAAUGAGCAAAUGCGAGUCCCAAAUCAACUGAAUAAUGCAUAAAAAGGUAAAACACACAAAACCUCGCUAUGGUAAAACCCAAGGUGGGGGAAAACCCAUAGUCUAAGAAGAAACGUGAGAAGUUGCAUUAAGUCAAAAUUAUACGUCUUUUGGACGCAAGUAGAAGAGCUCGCAAGGGUAUGAUCAGCUCAGGAUGGGUGCCUCGUUAAAACCUAGUUAGGUAGCAAAAACCUAGUGGGAAAAAUGCUCCUAAUCGUAGGAAAAAGAGUACAUUAAGAUCAAGUGAGUAUACCUCUGGAUACUCCCCCUAAGUUUAACAUAACUUCCAAAUGAGAACUACAAGCAUUGCAUAGGAUAGUUAGGCAUACC